rnacentral:rRNA from 1 species
UACGUAGGGACCGAGCGUUGUCCGGAAUCAUUGGGCGUAAAGAGCGUGUAGGCGGCUAUUUAAGUCCUGCGUGAAAUCCUGCGGCUCAACCGCAGACGGUCGUGGGAAACUGGAUGGCUAGAGUGUGGUAGGGGAGACUGGAAUUCCUGGUGUAGCGGUGAAAUGCGCAGAUAUCAGGAGGAACACCGAUGGCGAAGGCAGGUCUCUGGGCCACUACUGACGCUGAGAAGCGAAAGCAUGGGGAGCGAACAGG